AUGCUCGCCAUGUAAUAUUUUCUUUCGUAAUAAAUAAAUUAAAAUAAGAUUCCCGCGUCAUUGCACUUCGACGUGGCUGACCUUUGCGAUUAGAUCUCAAGUAUCUAACUCGUACACGUUAUUUUUGAUAGCAGGGAAAAGCGUUCGCGCUAUCCCUUU